AGUGAACGCUGGCGGUAGGCCUAACACAUGCAAGUCGAACGGCAGCACAGUAAGAGCUUGCUCUUACGGGUGGCGAGUGGAGGACGGGUGAAGUAUACAUCGGAAUCUACUUUUUCGUGGGGGAUAACGGAGGGAAACUUACGCUAAUACCGCAUACGACCUACGGGUGAAAGCAGGGGAUCUUCGGACCUUGCGCGAUUGAAUGAGCCGAUGUGGGAUUAGCUAGUUGGCGGGGUAAAGGCCCACCAAGGCGACGAUCCGUAGCUGGGCUGAGAGGAUGAUCAGCCACACUGGAACUGAGACACGGUCCAGACUCCUACGGGAGGCAGCAGUGGGGAAUAUUGGACAAUGGGCGCAAGCCUGCUCCAGCCAUACCGCGUGGGUGAAGAAGGCCUUCGGGUUGUAAAGCCCUUUUGUUGGGAAAGAAAAGCAGCAGGUUAAUACCCCGCUGUUCUGACGGUACCCAAAGAAUAAGCACCGGCUAACUUCGUG
rnacentral:rRNA from 1 species